rnacentral:rRNA from 1 species
UGGGGAAUUUUGGACAAUGGGCGAAAGCCUGAUCCAGCAAUGCCGCGUGUGUGAAGAAGGCCUUCGGGUUGUAAGGCACUUUUGUCCGGAAAGAAAUCCUUGGCUCUAAUACAGUCGGGGGAUGACGGUACCGGAAGAAUAAGCACCGGCUAACUACGUGCCAGCAGCCGCGGUAAUACGUAGGGUGCAAGCGUUAAUCGGAAUUACUGGACGUAAAGCGUGCGCAGGCGGUUUGCUAAGACCGAUGUGAAAUCCCCGGGCUCAACCUGGGAACUGCAUUGGUGACUGGCAGGCUAGAGUAUGGCAGAGGGGGGUAGAAUUCCACGUGUAGCAGUGAAAUGCGUAGAGAUGUGGAGGAAUACCGAUGGCGAAGGCAGCCCCCUGGGCCAAUACUGACGCUCAUGCACGAAAGCGUGGGGGAGCAAACAGGAUUAGAUACCCUGGUAGUCCACGCCCUAAAACGAUGUCAACUAGUUGUUGGGGAUUCAUUUCCUUAGUAACGUAGCUAACGCGUGAAGUUGACCGCCUGGGGAGUACGGUCGCAAGAUUAAAACUCAAAGGAAUUGACCGGGGUCAUAGCUGUUUCCU